UGGUUUGUUAAGUCAAACUUGUCCAACUUUAACUAAGUUUAUAGAAAAAUAUAAAAACAAUUAUACUACCAAACAUAUAUCCUAUCAAAAUAUAUUCUAUGGUGGAUCCAACGAAACAAAUUUGGUUUUGUAGAUGUUGCUAUAUUUUUCUAUAAACUUGAUCAAAGUUGGACGAGUUUAACUUAGGAACAACCAAA
rnacentral:pre_miRNA from 1 species